AUGUCGCGGUCGCGUACAGUGCGAAUCUACUGGGACGAUCCCGACGUGACGGACUCGUCCAGUGAGGACGACGAGGGCUGCGCCGCUCGGAGGGUGGGAAGGAUGGUGCGGGAGCUUCCGCCGGCCCCGGCGCCGCUUGUGCAGGCUGCUGCUGCUUCGCCGGAGCAGUGCAGCGCGGGAGACGACGACCUGCCGAGGCGUGUUGGUGGAUGUACCGGUGCGCGGAAGAGGCUGGCCAAGGGCGGCGGCUCCGCUGCGCAGAGCACCAAGUUCCGCGGCGUCAGGCGGCGGCCGUGGGGCAAGUACGCGGCGGAGAUCCGCGACCCGUGGCGCGGCGUGCGCCUCUGGCUCGGCACCUUCGACACCGCCGAGGAGGCCGCGCGCGUGUACGACAACGCGGCCAUUCAGCUCCGCGGCGCCACCGCCACGACCAACUUCUCCACGUCCACCAACUCGGAGGGCGGCCAGGAGGACCUGACGGCGGCCGGGUACGAGUCCGGCGCGGAGUCCUCGCAGGCGGUGUCGUCCCCGACGUCCGUGCUCCGCAAGGUGCCGUCGAUGUCGUCCUUGGCGGAGGACAGGGGCGACUCGGAGGCCUGCCAAGGCGACGCCGCCGCUGCUGGCAGCAGCCUCAGCGUUCCGGAGGAGUUGGGCGAGUUCGUGCCGUUCGAGGACGCACCGGUCUACUCCAGCAGCAGCUUCUGGGACUUCGAGCCGCAGUCGGGGUUCCUCUACGCCGAGCCGUCCUCAGCCGAGGAGGCUUCGUGGGACGCGUCCGCCGGCGGCGAGGCCGAGCCGUGGGCCGCGCCGGUGCAGGAGAACGACUACUUCCAGGAUUUGCGCGACCUGUUCCCGCUCAACCAGCUUCCCGCGAUUUUCUAG
rnacentral:rRNA from 1 species